CCUACGGGGGGCUGCAGUGGGGAAUAUUGGACAAUGGGGGAAACCCUGAUCCAGCAAUGCCGCGUGUGUGAAGAAGGCCUGCGGGUUGUAAAGCACUUUCGGUUGGGAAGAAAAGUUUGGCGCCAAUACCGCCGAACCUUGACGUUACUGACAGAAGAAGCACCGGCUCACUCUGUGCCAGCCGCCGCGGUAAUACAGAGGGUGCAAGCGUUGAUCGGAAUGACUGGGUGUAAAGCGAGGGUAGGUGGGCAAUCCCCGGGCUUAACCUGGGAACUGCAGUCGAUACUACAGGGCUAGAGUAUGGUAGAGGGAAGUGGAAUUUCCGGUGUAGCGGUGAAAUGCGUAGAUAUCGGAAGGAACACCAAUGGCGAAGGCAGCUUCCUGGACUAAUACUGACACUGAGGCACGAAAGCGUGGGUAGCAAACAGGAUUAGAUACCCCAGUAGUC
rnacentral:rRNA from 1 species